rnacentral:rRNA from 1 species
UGGGGAAUAUUGCACAAUGGGGGAAACCCUGAUGCAGCAACGCCGCGUGAGUGAAGAAGUAUUUCGGUAUGUAAAGCUCUAUCAGCAGGGAAGAAAAUGACAGUACCUGACUAAGAAGCCCCGGCUAACUACGUCGCC